GUGUGUGAGUGUGUGUGUGUGUGUGUGAGUGUGCGUGUGUCAGUGUGUGAGUGGGUGUGUGUGUGUGUGCGAGUGUGUGGGUGUGUCAGUUUCACACACACACACACACACACACACACACACACACAG
rnacentral:miRNA from 14 species